rnacentral:tRNA from 1 species
GGUGGUGGCUCAGAGGUAGAGCGCUCGCCUAGCAUGCGUGAGGCACUGCGUUCCAUCCUCAGCACCACCU